rfam:Cavia porcellus supercont2_3 genomic scaffold, whole genome shotgun sequence.
AGGGAUUUAGCUCAGCGGCAUAAGCGCCUGCCUUGCAAGCAGGCAGUCGUGAGUUCAAUCCCUG